rnacentral:rRNA from 1 species
CCUACGGGAGGCAGCAGUGAGGAAUAUUGGUCAAUGGCCGAGAGGCUGAACCAGCCAAGUCGCGUGAGGGAAGACGGCCCUACGGGUUGUAAACCUCUUUUGUCGGGGAGCAAAUCGAGUCACGUGUCACUCAUUGAGAGUACCCGAAGAAAAAGCAUCGGCUAACUCCGUGCCAGCAGCCGCGGUAAUACGGAGGAUGCGAGCGUUAUCCGGAUUUAUUGGGUUUAAAGGGGGUGUAGCCGGGAAGUCAAGUCAGAUGUGAAAUCCGGAGGCUCAACCUCAGAAGUGCAUUUGAAACUGUUUGUCUUGAGUACUGGAGAGGCAGACGGAAUUCCUGGUGUAGCGGUGAAAUGCGUAGAGAUAAGGAGGAACACCAGUGGCGAAGGCGGCCUGCUGGA